rnacentral:misc_RNA from 1 species
GACCUCACUAAGAAAAUAAGUUCUACGUGCCAGAUAUGUAAAAAAGACUACCAAUAGCGACUCUGUCCUGCGUCUUUCGCCCAAUCGAAAGUACCAUCUGUCGGAGGUCCACCUGCUGUGACGCUUUGGGGGUCUGUCGUAGGAAGUCCUUGCAUAUCCUGCACACCUUGGAACAAUUUGCCUGGGAACCCAUGCAACAAAUCGUAGGAAACAGGUGUGGGUGGUAAAGCAGUGGUGUGAGCGUGUGGCGACUGUAAAACCGCUAUUACUCUUCUCAGUUCCUCCAAAGCGUUCCCUGUAUGAUUUGUACCUUGCAUGAGAAUAUAAUUUUUCGCCAAGAGGAGAGUUGCAAUCUUGGACAAUUUUCUUACGGACGGACUAUGGGCGUAAGGAAUCACGGAUCGAAGUUCAUCAAGUGCAUCGUUCAAAUCGUGCAUUCUUCUGCGUUCCCUGGCGUUAAUGUUCAAUCGCAUGCUUUUC